AGCAGCCGCGGUAAUUCCAGCUCCAAUAGCGUAUAUUAAAGUUGUUGCAGUUAAAAAGCUCGUAGUUGAAUUUCGGGAUCAAUUUGUUGGUCGUGCCUCGGUACGUACUGGCAUUAUUGGUUUCUACCUUCUGAAGAACCGUCAUGUCAUUAAGUUGGUGUGGCGGGGAAUCAGGACUGUUACUUUGAAAAAAU
rnacentral:rRNA from 1 species